GUACUCCGUGUAUAUUUUUGGAAGCUUACAGAGACUGGCAGGGAUCACCCCCAUCCCCCCACAAAAAAAUAAUAAAAUUUAAAAUAAAAAACUAUGGGCGAGUAAAGUGUGGGUGAAUGGAUUCACAUUUCUUUCAUUUGUCUUCUUAUAUUCUUUUUAACUUUUGAAAAACCAAUUUUGUCCACUACCUCUCCACAUUUUCCUUGCUCUUGCUGCAGAUAGUUUCUUCACUUAAUAUCCUAGUUGUGUCCUUCACUUCCUUCCGGAGAAUCUUUUUCAGUAAAUUUUCUAUGUAUAUUAGCUAUGUCCCUUUUCAACUCAAUAUAUAUUUGGAUACCCUUUGUACUUUUUAUACUCAGUUGAAAGGAUUUCUCAAAUUCUUCGCCAGACUAUCAGUGGAUUAGGUGUUAGAGACAAUAAUUACGAAGGGGCCUAAAGUUGGACGACUGUUUCCAAUACACUUUUCUAUUCCUCGUGUUCUAUCAUUUGCUUGUACAUCUACACCUAGUAAGACAGAGAUCGAAAAAAAAAAUGAGCACCAGUCAGACAUGCAAUAACUCCUUUGGACUAAAGAGGAGAAUAAAAUCUUUGAGAAUACCCUAGCGAUCUACUUUAAUGAUGCUAAUCUAUUUACUAAGAUGAAAGAAGCACUUCCUUGGAAAUCGCUUGUUGAUAUCAAGGAUCACUAUAAUAUAUUAAUUGAAGAUAUUGAUGUGAUCGAGUCUGGACGGGUUCCAUUACCUGAUUAUCCGGAAGAGCCAAGAGAUUCCAACCAGAAUUCAGAAGCAUCUAUAGGAUGGCGAAGAGGUGCUUUCUGGAGCAAAGAGGAACACAGGUUUUACAAAACAUGAGAUGGCUCUAGGAACACAACACUAUUUCUUGGGUACAAGUACCUCCAGGACUCGAUGGAAGGAAACUGACACAACGUGACUUACUUGAAUACAUGACCAACAUCAACAAUCUGUAAUAUCAUAGCUUGGGGAAUUUCAUGAAGUACAUGUUAUCAUGCAUUUUGUACAUAAUUAGGAUUUUCAAAUAAGCAUAGCAUACUAUCAUAAGACUAGUUCAUGAACAAUCCAAGAACAUUUGCAAGAC